AAGUUACGUACGUGUUCGCUGUGAACUUCCGACCAGGUCGAAUCCCUAGCCCACGCCACGACGCCAUUUGUUCCUCGUCAGGAACCCUAGCCGCGCCAGCCCGCCGCCGCCCCGCCGGCAGCCCUCCGCGGCCCUCUCCUCCUCCGUCCGUCCCGCCGUCGCCUUCCUCUCCUCCUUUCCGUCGACCUCUUCGCCGCCGUUGGCCUGCUUUGCCGGGCUGCAGCCCCAUCUGGGCGCUCGGGCCGUAGUCUUUGCGGAGGAAACCAGCCGAGCAGUCCAGUCCACACACACCCCAGGCCCGCUUCUGGCCCAUAUGCCGGCGACAACCAACCGGACCAGAGCUCCUCGACAGACACAGACACAGCGCCUCCCAAGCCCUAACGGCAACACCAACACCGGCCACGCGGCGGCCGGCUCACCGUAGCCGUCCCCUCGCGCUCGCCUUCGCCAGCGCGGCAGCGCCGUCCGUCGGUGUCGCACCCGCCACCACCUCUUCCCCCUCUCCCUUCCGCCGCCGCAACCGCGCAGCUGCCACAGCCACUCGCCGCCGACACCAAACCGCGCCGCCCGGCCGCCUCCUGCUGUUCCGCGCUCGUCCCUUGCCGUGCAUAUGGACGAAGAGCGCGUGGAACGGGAAGGCCGCCGCCUCAAGAAGAAGGCGAAGCAUCGUGAUGAAGAGGGGAAGGCGAAGGAUAAAUUGAAGCGUCGCACAGAUGAAAAGGCAACUGAGGCUGAUUCGGUCGCAGAAAAAGUUAAGGAGGAGGCUGUGGUAGGCGCUGCGGAGGAGAAAGAAGGCCACAAGCGCAAGAAAGGGAAGGGCCGCAGUGAGGAGACGAAGAGCAAGGAGAAUGUUCCAGUCGUUUCAGGUAGCAUAGAGAACGGUGUUGGUGAGGAGCAGGCCAAGAAGUCGGGCUCGAUGGCGCCUUGUUCGGAGGGUGCCAUGAACAAAGACAAUGUGAAGAAAGACAAGAAGAGAAGGAAGGAGGAGAAGAAGAAAGAGAAAGAAGCUGAUAUGACUGAGCAGAAGCAGAGUUUUGAUACUACUGUUGGUAAGGAGCAAGCUGAAACUUCUGGCUUGAUGGAGGUAACGCCCUGUUUGGAGCUCGCCCAGGGCGAUAUGAGCAAAGACAAGGUGAAGAAAGUCAAGAAGAAAAAGAAGGAAGAGAAAGAAGCUGAGAAGACUGGGCAGCAGAAGCAGACAUUUGAUACUACUGUUGGAAAUUCAGGGGCAAAGUAUGCAGAGGGAGACAAGGUUGAGGGAAAACAGUCUAGCAAGGCAAAGAAGAGCAAACGCAAGAGUGAUGAUGGUGCACCUGCUGCUGAUCAAAUCGUGACAAGAGAAUACAAGAAGAAAAAGAAGGAGCAUUCAGUUGUGCUGGAAGAGAGCAGCCAAACCGAAAAUAGCAAUGAAGGUGAGAAUAGAGAGAUUAAGAAGGGAGGAAAGGAAAGGAGUAAAGCCAGUCCAGACUUUAGUGAGAAUGCAUCUGCUGGGGGAGAGGAAGCUGGUGUAGAUGGUAAUGAUGAUAAGAAGAAAAAGAAGAGCAAGGGGAUUGGAGGAGGGAAAAAAGAGAAAGAAAAGUCAGUUCGGUCAACAAAGGGUAAGCAGGUGAGUUUUGCUGAUUCCGCGGAGAUGUUUAGAACCGAAGGUGGUGAUGGGGAGGGGAUUGGAGGAGGAAAACAGAAGGAAAAGGCAGCUCUGUCAAAGAAGAAAGGUAAGCGGGUGAGCUUUGCUAAUUCUGCGGAGGUGUUUAGCAUUGAAGGUGGUGAUAAUGAAGAGGAUGGCAUCAGCAAUGAAUCGAAAAGUGUGCAUGGUCGAUUUACCCCAGAGGAAGACGCCGCCCUCAUGGAAGCUAUGAGGGGUUACGCAGAGAUGAAGCAACUGGGAGAGAAAGGUUUAGAGAUGAUUGGGUCUUGUCGUAAAUAUCCAGAGCUAAAGGGUUGUUGGGAUGAUAUAGCGAAAUCGUUACCCCAUAGACCUUACUUGGCCAUAUACAGGCGAGCACAUACAUUACUCCAUAGGAGCACCGGAUGUAAAUGGACAGAUGAAGAAAAAGAGCAGAUUCGGCGGUUUGUCGAGAAAAAUGGCACGGAUUGGAAAACACUGGCACAGGAACUUGGAAAGAGUGAGAUCCAUGUAAAACAUGCUUGGAGAAGAAUAAAACCUAAGAAGAAAAAAGGUGCUGAUGAUGAAGAGGAUGUCAGUGGUGGUGAAUCUGAACUUGUACAUGGACAUCGGUUUACCACAGAGGAAGAUGCCAUCCUCAUGGAAGCUAUGAGGGAUUACGCAGAGCUGAAACAACUGGGAGAGAAAGGCUUAGAGAUGAUUGGGUCUUGUAGUAAAUACCCAGAGCUCAAGGGUUGUUGGGAUGAUAUAGCGAAGUCGUUACCCCAUAGACCUCACGAGGCCAUAUACCAUCGAGCGCGUAUAUUACUCUAUAGGAGUGCUGAACGUAAAUGGACAGAUGACGAAAAAGAGCAGAUUCGGCGGUUUGUCGAAAGCAAUGGAACGGAUUGGAAGACAUUGGCACGGGAACUUGGAAAGAGUGAGAUCCACGUAAAAGAUACUUGGAGAAGAAUAAAACCUAAGAACUUGAAAAAAGGACGUUGGACUCAGGAUGAACACCAAAACUUGUUUGAUUUGGUGAACCUUGACUUGCGUCUGAAAGCCCAUCAAAUCAAAAAUCCUGAUCAUCGGCUGCUAAGAGAUAACAUUUCCUGGGAGGCCAUCAGUGAUAAAUUGACCACCCGUAAUCACAAGAAUUGUUGCCUCAAGUGGUACGAAACAUUAGCAUCUCCGAUGGUCAAGGAAGGAGUCUGGGCUGAUGUUGAUGAUUAUCUACUGGUGGAAGCGCUUCAAAAGGUUGAUGCUGUCUGUAUUGAAGAUGUUGACUGGGACAGCCUACUUGAUCACAGGUCUGGGGAGGUUUGUCGUCAAAGAUGGAACCAGAUGGUCCGCGCCUUUCAUCGAACAAGUGGAAGUGCUGUCGAGGCGCUACUGCCCAGAAAUGAUUGAAUACAGGAAGUGAGGAAAAAGUGUAGGAAUUAUCACCCGUCAAACUUGUAAGCCCAGACAAAACAGCAAGCAUGAUGUGUCAAAUCUUGCUCGUCACUUCCAUGGUAUGUGGAGUAGCCCGUAGGAUGCCAGGCUUGCGGGAUUUAUGGGGUGUAGAAAUGUAUCAACGGUACAUGGUUCACCAGUGAGCAAGCUAGGUUAUGAUUUUGUUUUCCUUCUAUUGUCCUCACGAACAUCUUUACUCAAACCUGAAUACAUGAUCACUUCAGGGACUCCACUCA